rfam:Bifidobacterium reuteri DSM 23975 Contig06, whole genome shotgun sequence.
CGUAUCAUUGUGCUCCGCCUGCCUGCGGGGCGAUAAGUCCUGAUGAAAGGGAUGAUAUGAC